rnacentral:rRNA from 2 species
UGCGGAAGGAUCAUUGUCGAAACCU